rnacentral:lncRNA from 1 species
AAAAGCAAAUAAGUACGGAACGCAGCGAAAAAUUAAAAUCGUGCGAUAAUCGUGCGAAUGGUUUUUAUGCCCAGAAUUGUUCAGAAACAAAGUCUGAUGUUUUUAAGCUGCAAAAUCCUUUAUAACUUUCACUUAACACUACGAAAAUUAUGAAAACCAACGCAAGUUUUGCCGAGUUUCUUUGUUUGAGUGAGUUUAAAACAUUGGAUUCGAGAUAUUCAAAUUAAUUUCCACUUAAAAACCUGCUAAAACAAUGCCUUCAUAUUUAAAGCUUGACUCCAGUGAAAAUCAUUUUCGCAGGAAAACAUAAAAUUUCAAAAGCAUUAGGCUUCGAGUGCUCCCCCUGUGAACUGCUAAAACAGUUUAGCACAUAAUUAUUCACAUUAAGCACCGAUAACAACUUCAUAAAUAAUAUCCAAAUAUGAAGAUCAUUCAUAUGUAAUUCCUCAAAAUCCUUAAAGCACCUAAAAAUGUAUCUAAAAGCAAAUAAUUAUGAAACACAGCGAAAAAUUAAAAUCGUGCGAUAUUUGUGCGAAUGGUUUUUAUGCCCAAAAUUGUUCAAAACCAAAAGUCUGAUGUUUUAAACUUCGAAAUCCUUUAGAACCUACACUUAACACCAUGAAAAACAACAAGAAAAUUAAAAUCAUGCGAAAAUUGUUCGAAUGUUUUUUAUGCCCAGAAUUGUUCGAAAACAAAGUAUGAUAUUUUGAGCUUCAAAAUCCUUUCUAAGUUUCUUUGUUUGAGCAAGUUUAAAACAUUGGAUUCAAGAUUUUGAAAUUCAUUUCCAUUUAAAAACCUGCUAAAACAAUGCUUUCCUAUUUUAAAGCUUCACUCCAGUGAAAAUCGUUUUCAAAGCAAAACAUAAAAUUUCAAAAAGCAUUAGGCUUCGAGUACUCCCCUGUAAACUGGUAGAAAGCACAAAACGAUAUCCAACUUCAUAAAUAAUAUCCAAAUAUGAAGAUCACUCAUAUGUAAUUCCUCAAAAUCCUUAGAGCACCUAAAAAUGUAUCUAAAAAGCAAAUAAGUAUGAAACGCAGCGAAAAAUUAAAAUCGUGCGAUAAUCGUGCGAAUGGUUUUUAUGCCCAGAAUUGUUCAGAAACAAAGUCUGAUGUUUUUAAGCUGCAAAAUCCUUUAUAACUUUCACUUAACACUACGAAAAUUAUGAAAACCAACGCAAGUUUUGCCGAGUUUCUUUGUUUGAGUGAGCUUAAAACAUUGGAUUCGAGAUAUUCAAAUUAAUUUCCACUUAAAAACCUGCUAAAACAAUGCCUUCAUAUUUUAAAGCUUGACUCCAGUGAAAAUCAUUU